UAAUGCAGAGUAAUACUCCAUUGUGUAUAAAUGCCACAUUUUUUUUAUCCAUUCGUCUAUUGAAGGGCAUCUAGGUUGGUUCCACAGUCUUGCUAUUGUGAAUUGUGCUGCUAUGCACAUUGAUGUAGCAGUGUCCCUGUAGCAUGCUCUUUUUAGGUCUUUAGGGAAUAGACCUAGAAGGGGAAUAGCUGGGUCAAAUGGUGGUUCCAUUCCCAGCUUUCCAAGAAAUCUCCAUACUGCUUUCCAAAUUGGCCGCACCAAUUUGCAGUCCCACCAGCAUUGUACAAGUGUACCCUUUUCCCCACAUCCUCGCCAGCAUUUGUUGUUGUUUGACUUCAUAAUGGCUGCCAAUCUGACUGGAGUUAGAUGGUAUCUUAGGGUGGUUUUGAUUUGCAUUUCUCUGACUGCUAGAGAUGGUGAGCAUUUUUUCAUGUACUUGUUGAUUGAUUGUACGUCCUCCUCUGAGAAGUGUCUGUUCAGCUCCUUGGCCCAUUUGUUGAUUGGGUUAUUUGUUAUCUUAUUGUCUAAUUUUUUUAGUUGUUUGUAUACUCUGGAUAUUAGGGCUCUAUCUGAAGUGUGAGGAGUAAAGAUUUCCCAGGGUGUAGGCUCCCUAUUUACCUCUCUUAUUGUUUCUUUUGCUGAGAAAAAACUUUUUAGUUUGAGUAAGUCCCAUUUGUUGAUUCUAGUUAUUAACUCUUGUGCUAUGGGUGUCCUAUUAAGGAAUUUGGAGCCCGACCCCACAGUAUGUAGAUUGUAGCCAACUUUUUCUUCUAUCAGAUGCCGUGUCUCUGAUUUGAUAUCAAGCUCCUUGAUCCAUUUUGAGUUAACUUUUGUGCAUGGCGAGAGAAAGGGAUUCAGUUUCAUUUUGUUGCAUAUGGAUUUCCAGUUUUCCCAGCACCAUUUGUUGAAGAUGUUAUCCUUCCUCCAUUGCAUGCUUUUAGCCCCUUUAUCAAAUAUAAGAUAGUUGUAGUUUUGUGGAUUGGUUUCUGUGUCCUCUCUUCUGUACCAUUGGUCUACCCGCCUGUUUUGGUACCAGUACCAUGCUUUUUUUGUUAAUAUUGCUCUGUAGUAUAGUUUGAAGUCUGGUAUCGCUAUACCGCCUGAUUCACACUUCCUGCUUAGCAUUGUUUUUGCUAUUCUGGGUCUUUUAUUUUUCCAUAUGAAUUUCAUGAUUGCUUUCUCUAUUUCUACAAGAAAUGCCGUUGGGAUUUUGAUUGGCAUUGCAUUAAACCUAUAGAGAACUUUUGGUAAUAUCACCAUUUUGAUGAUGUUAGUUCUGCCUAUCCAUGAACAGGGUAUAUUUUUCCAUCUUCUAAGAUCUUCUUCUAUUUCUCUCUUCAGGGUUCUGUAGUUUUCAUUGUAUAAGUCUUUCACCUCUUUUGUUAGGUUGAUUCCCAAGUAUAUAUAUUUUUUUUUUGAGGAUAUUGUGAAUGGAGUGGUUGUCCUCAUUUCCAUUUCAGAGGAUUUGUCACUGAUAUACAGGAAUGCCUUUGAUUUAUGCGUGUUGAUUUUAUAUCCUGCCACUUUGCUGAAUUCAUUUAUUAGCUCUAAUAGUUUCUUUGUAGACCCUUUUGGGUCUGCUAGGUAUAGAAUCAUGUUAUCUGCAAAUAGUGAUAAUUUAAGUUUUUCUUUUCCUAUUUUUAUGCCUUUAAUUUCUUUCAUCUGUCUAAUUGCUCUGGCCAGUGUUUCGAGAACUAUGUUGAACAGAAAUGGUGAGAGAGGGCAUCCCUGUCUUGUUCCAGAUUUUAGAGGGAAUGCCUUCAAUUUUUCUCCAUUUAGAAUGUUGCUAGCCUGAGGCUUAGCGUAGACUGCUUUUACAAUAUUGAGGUGUGUUCCUGUUAUCCCUAGUUUUUCUAGAGUUUUGAACAUAAAGGGAUGCUCUACUUUGUCGAAUGCUUUUUCCGCAUCUAUCGAGAUGACCAUAUGGUUCUUAUUUUUAAGUCUAUUGAUGUGGUGAAUAAUAUUUAUUGAUUUCCGUAUAUUGAACCAGCCUUGCAUCCCAGGGAUGAAUCCUACUUGAUCAUGGUGCACAAAUUUUUUGAUAUGUUUUUGUAUCCGAUUCGCCAGAAUUUUAUUGAGGAUUUUUGCAUCUAGGUUCAUUAGAGAUAUUGGUCUGUAGUUUUCUUUCUUUGAAGUGUCUUUGUCUGGUUUAGGAAUCAGGGUGAUGUUGGCCUCAUAGAAUGAAUUUGGAAGUUCUUCCUCUUUUUCUAUUUCCUGAACUAGCUUGAAAAGUAUUGGUAUUAGUUCCUCUUUAAAGGUUUUGUAAAACUCUGCUGUAUACCCAUCCAGUCCUGGGCUUUUCUUAGUUGGUAGUCUUUUGAUGGUUUCUUCUAUUUCCUCAAUUGAUAUUGGUCUGUUUAGGUUGUCUAUAUUCUCCUGACUCAAUCUGGGCAGAUUAUAUGACUUAAGAAAUUUAUCGAUGCCUUCACUAUCUUCUAUUUUAUUGGAGUAUAAGGAUUCAAAAUAAUUUCUGAUUAUGUUCUGUAUUUCUGAAGUGUCUGUUGUGAUAUUGCUUUUUUCAUCCCGUAUGUUAGUAAUUUGAGUUCUCUCUCUUCUUCUCUUCGUUAGCAUGGCUAAGGGUCUGUAGAUUUUAUUUAUUUUUUCAAAGAACCAACUUUUAGUUUUGUCAAUUUUUUUCAAUUGUUUCUUUUGUUUCGAUUUCAUUAAUUUCAGCUCUGAUUUUAAUUAUUUCUUGCCUUCUACUUCUUUUGCUGUUGUUUUGCUCUUCUUUUUCUAGGAUUUUGAGAUGAAGUAUGAGAUCAUUUAUUUGUUGGUUUUUUUUUUUCUUUUUUUAAGGAAUGAACUCCAAGCAAUGAAUUUUCCUCUUAGAACUGCUUUCAAAGUGUCCCAUAGAUUCCGCUAUGUUGUGUCUGUGUUUUCAUUUAUCUCUAAGAAUUUUUUAAUUUCCUCCUUGAUGUCUUCUAUAACCCAUUGAUUAUUCAGUAACCUAUUUUUCAUUCUCCAAGUGAUGCAUGAUUUUUCCUUCCUUCUUUUAUCAUUGAUUUUCAGUUUCAUUCCAUUAUGAUCAGAUAAGAUGCAUGGUAUUAUCUCUACUCCUUUAUAUUGUCUAAGAGUUGCCCUGUGACAUAAUAUAUGAUCUAUUUUUGAGAAGGAUCCAUGUGCUGCUGAGAAAAAAGUGUAACUGCUUGAUGUUGGGUGGUAUAUUCUAUAUAUGUCAAUUAAGUCUAGGUUAUUAAUUGUGUUAUUGAGUUCUAUAGUUUCCUUAUUCAACUUUUGUUUGGAAGAUCUGUCCAGUGGUGAGAGAGGUGUGUUGAAGUCUCCCAUGAUUAUUGUAUGGUGGUCUAUUAGACUCUUGAACUUGAGAAGAGUUUUUUUGAUGAACAUAGCUGCACCAUUGUUUGUCUCUAAAUUCCCGCCAUGCACUAAGGCACCAGAACUAUUACCGACCCCCCUCCAAGGAAACAGCAACAUGAUAGGAAAAUAAUAUUGUCAAAAUUGUAUAAUUCUGUUGUUAACCAUUGUUUUGUCCUCAACUGUUAACUGAUAAAUGUUACUUCCACAAAAUAUGUGAAUUUUCUGCUUCUGAGAGGCAAUGUGAAAGAGGAAGUAUUACUUUUAUGUACAAAGUUAUUUAUUUAUAGAAAUUUUGGUACUAUGUACAUUGAAAACAUGUAAAAUAUUGAAGUGUCUAACAAAAGGCAUUGAAGUGUCUUUAAUAAAGAUUCAUUUGUAAGUGUUGAGCGUAUGGCAGGAAUAAAAGUUGGGAUAUAUGGUGUCCUUAGGGAGACAACAAAUGGCCUCUUUUGGCUAGAAAAAAUAUGUGCAAAGCAGGUUUGCAGGUUAGAACCAUGCAGCUUAUUCAGCAAAUAUUUAUUAAGCAUUUGCUAGACACUUAAGCAUAGGAUACCAUGGUAAGCAUGAUAGGAAAGUUCUCUUACAGAACCUGUUAGUCUAUUAGAGCAGGGAUAUUAGUUAAGAGCUGUGAUAAGGACCACAUGGUAAAAUCUAGAUCAAGUUUCAAGAUAAAUUGUCUUUGAGGAAAUUCUGUUUAAGCUGAAACCUGAUGGUUGAAUACACAUCAGCUAAGCACUGCUUGGAAAACUGUCUGCCUUCUCUAAUCCUCUAAUGUCCAAAUCCUCUUAACCAAAUUAUGCACUAUGUGUUCAGUAGUCAAUACAAAUGAGUUACUGGUACUCUAAGCAAUUGAAAUUGGCAUGAAAAAGAAGUAUAUUUUCCAUUCCUGGUCUAGAAGAUACCAUGCCAAAUAUAGCAUGACAUUUCUUCAUUUUUAAAUGCAAAAAAAUAAUGAUUUUAAACAUCUUACAAAUAGCAAUUUGUGAAAGUCAACAACAAAUUCUUCACUCAAGCUUAACCAAAUUUUGAUAGAGUAAGUUCAGUUUUUAACAUAAUAUAUGUCACUUGGAUGGUAAAAUAGCAUCCAAUUAUAUGUUCAGUAUCUGAUGAGAGUCCAGAGGAAGGAUGCUAUAUAUUUUAAGUUGUGGGUUUCUUUAGCAAGAUUUGCCAACUGGAGUAUAUAAUGAAAUAUAUAAUGAGAUAAGCCUAAUGGAUUUAUAGAAAAAGUAGAAUUGAUGAAGAGGUCUAGGCUCAAUAGAAAAAAGAUGAAAGGUCAGAGAAUUGCUGAUAGAGUGUGCAAAAAGGGAGAUGCUCAAAAACUGAAGAGAAGAGAAUGAGUGACAAACAUCACCAAAGAAAGUGGGUAAGGAAUGAGGUACUGAAAUAUAAAGCAUCAGAAAAGGGAUAGUUUUGGGGAUGGCAAGUUUUAGGGUGUGGCCAUGGGAGUAGAUGAAUGAAAGAAAUGGAGAAAAGCAAGUAACUGUGAGGCUAUGAUGUUGAUUGUAUCUUGACAUGGGUGGAAGAUGGUGAGGUUUAGUGGUGCUGUCAAAGCUUUAAGUCAUGUGUGAAUAUUUUCAAAAAUCUGAAAAGUACCCCAGUUGGGGAUCAAAUGGGAAGUAAAUCUCAGUAACAGGGUAUAUGCAAGAAUCUGACUUAAUAAUCGGCCUACAAUCCCCUAUAGAAGGAGGAACAAGGAAUUGCUUAGAAGUGAUGGAAUGCAGACAGGAUGCAGCUCUGGCUUCAUGAAAAAGAGGUGGCCAUACUUCAGGCAAGGACUUGUGAGCCUGGGGUGGACAGAUUGAGUAUGAGGUGGAGUUCGGUGGAAUAAAAUGGGAAGAAAUAGCUAGGGGCUCAAAAGAACAAAGAUUUGGAAACCCAAGGCCUUGUUUGAGAAUAAUAGAAAUGGAAAAGGAACUGCACAGGCUCAGGCUAAUGAAAAAGGUGAUGAAAGCCAGGGAUAAAGGUCUUGAUGGUAGUUGAUUUUGAAACUCUUUCUAGAGCUUGAAUGUUAAAAUGUUUCCCUAUUGAUGCAGACAGGAGUACUCAGCUCUAUAAGCCAGACAAUAAUCUCUGCCCUGUGGCUGACUUUCUGCCUUAAAAUAUGAGGCCUCUUAGGAGGGAAGUAGGCAUAGCCAGGUAAGAGUCAUGGUGACACAUUUAGAGUUCUUCUGUUUUCAUACAAACAGAUUUGCACACAAAGGAGUGCCAUCUUAUAUAGGGACUGCCAGGUGGAAUCAUCUUGGGCAUUAACUGGAUCAGUUGACAUUAAUAGGUGUUAGUCAGCUUUCCAAAGCUUUGACCAAAUAACUGAGAUAAUAUUCAUUAAUAAGGAAAGGUUCAUUUGGUUCACAGUUUCAGAUGGUUGCAUGGCCCCAUGGCCUUUGGGCCUGAGGUGAGGCAGUCCAUCAUGGUGGGAAUAUGCAGCACUCCUGCACGUUUGCCAGAGAACCAAGAGAGACAAGAAAGGUCUGGGAUCUCAAUAUCCCCUCCAAGGGCAUUGCUCCAAUGACCUAACUUCCCUCCAAUAGGCCCCACCUCCUAAAGGGUCCACCAUCUCCCUGAAACACUAAAGGCUAAUAACCAAUUCUUUAAGACAUAGGAUUUUGGUGGACAUUUAUCCAAGUGAUAGCCAUGGGUUUAGUUGUGUUAGGAUUCAGGGUUGAUCCCAUUCUUAGCAUGGAUCUGAGGUGAAUUCUAAAUUGACCAGAAGUGGUAAAUGGAGAGUUGGAAGAAUGUAGAAAGAAAAGAUAAAUUGUCUUGCAGUUUGUCCUGUACACAGACAACUCAAAUUCUAUAUAACCAUGAGAAGCCACAAUACUGAAAUCAGAUCCCUAUCACUUUUGGCAAGAAUUUAUGAAAUUUUUCAAAAUCUAGCUCCCUUGAACUGCAUGACCAGAAAAAAUUGAGGCAACAUGUCAAAGAGUGGCACAGAUCAAUAUAAUUGUGGCUAUGAACACAUUGACAAUCUAAGUCAUUUAGGUGCAAGUCCUUAAAAUAUAAUUGCAAAACAGUGUAUGAAUUUUAGAGACAAUCUAUUUUACAUACUGAAGAAGAACAAGUUUAUUCUCUCCCUAGAGAGAGAAGUUUGAAGCAGACACAAUUUACCUCUUUCACCUAUGUGCUUUGGACAAAAAUCUGCAGAGACUGAUGAUGAAUGCUGAGGAUGGGAGCCUUGUUCUAACCAGAUGAGGACACAUGCAUCUUAAAUGUUUCCCACAGGUACAGUGGCAGGCCCUAAAGACAGGUAUCCUGGAUAUAUCCUCAGUGUCCAGAGUAUCUUUCAGAGCAUGGAAUCUUUCAGAGUACAACAAACCAAACAAACACCAUCACCAUGUUCAAGAAAAGAAAAGAAGGGUAACUUGCAAAAUGCUUAGAUCACAAGUGACCUUUUAAACCCAUUAAAAGAUGAAUGUGCUAUAUAAAGACUCAGUAAUAACAAUGCAAACAGCAACCAAAUGUUAUCUUCCAGAGGACAAUGGCAUCAUGACAUUAAUAAUAUACUAACAGGCUGGGAACAUAGGUCAGCUUUUCUUUGUGUGGAGUGAUUUUCUGUUGGCUUUUAAUGAUGUGAGAUAAGCUCAUAAUUUUGUUUCUCAAUGGCAGAUUUUGCUCCCAAAUUAGUUAUGUAACUUGAUGCUCUAUUCAGGUACCAGUAUUUUUCAACUAAUACUUUACGCAAAAGGAAAGUGAAAUGAACUGUACACUUCCAAGUUCGUUAUAUUUUCCCAUUUGGGGAUAUACUUCUAUUUCUCAGAACAUAUCUCAGUUGUUAAACAGCACAUGCCUAAUCACAUUAAUUAAGGUAUGUAUUUUAUUAUAUAUUUAUAAUUGUGGAUUUCACUUCAUUUACAGUAGCUAUGUGUUAGUACUGAAUUUAUUUCCAAAUGGUUUCUAAUCAGUCAAAUGACUCCCUUAAAAAUUCCAACUCAUAACACAAAUAUUGUAACAUUCUAAAUUUCCUAGACUCAGAGUAUUUAGAUAAAGAAUCAUCUUUGACCAAGUCUGUUGGAGGCCAUAUAUAUAAUAUAUAAUUAAAUAUAAAUAUAUAUUUGUUCUAAUCAUUAAGGCAGAGAGGACACUCUUUCAGGAACUCCUGGGUGGAAUACCCCCACCCCCACCCCCACCAUAAGAAUGCCUGGAUCAUGCUGUCCUAACUCACAGCCUUAGGAUCAAAGAGCCUCCUGGAGAUGGGCGUCGCCUGCCAAAGGCCAAAUAACCUGUUUAUUGUGGCAUCCCUGCCACCCUGAGAAGCAAGCACCAAGAAAAGACUCCUCCCACAUGGAAACCUUAUACAUACUGAUCCCCUUUGAUCUGUACCACUAUAAAUAAAGCAGGCAUAGGCUUCUUCUUUGUUAGAAGCUAGACCCCUCUAGUAGGCUCAACUGGCCAUGCCCCUACUUUAAAUAUAUUCUUGUCUGUUUUUCUUUAAUUUCUUGAUAUAUUAGUUUAAAAUCUUAUUUCACAGCCAGCACAUCACUACUAGGGGUACCCACCCUCUCGCCCACACAGGACAUGAGCGAGACAAGUCUACACAAUUUGCAAAUAGAAGGAAGCCUAAUAGAGGCUUCCUUCAACCAUCUGGGUUUAAGAUAUCAAAAGAAAAUUGUAGAGGGCUGGGAUUGUGGCUCAGGGGUAGAGCGCUCACCUAGCAUGAUUAAGGCCCUGGGUUUGAUCCUCAGCACAACAUAAAAUAAAUAAAUAAAAUAAAGGUAAUGUGUCCUACUACAACUAAAAAACUUGAAGGAGGAGGAGGAGGAGGAGGAGAAGAAGGAAGGAAGGAAGGAAGGAAGGAAGGAAGGAAGGAAGGAACUGUAGAAGUUGUAAAGGAAGAACACCAUUGCUGGCUCGUACAAAAUUUUCCUACAGUCCCAUAUUAAUCUUUGUGGAGUUCCACUAGGGAAUAUUAAGGGCCAAAUUGAAAAAAGCAGAAUCUGCAACCAAACCCAAAGGGUGGGAUAUAAGCUAAAGGAGAUAUAAAGUCUAGAAAGGAUUAGCUACUGAGCACCAGGAAUGUGAUAAUGAGCAAAGUUCAUUUGAAUCCAGCAAGUUCAUUUGCUACAAGCAGAGUGGAAGGCACCUUGGCUUUUCAUUUUCCUUUAAUGUAGACUCUUACUGUAUUGCAUGGUAUGUUUGCAUGAUAUGUUGGCCUAUUUUAAAAAUUAGACACCAAAGAAUUUGGGUAUUAUUCUGUUAAAAUUGGAGUGCACACAGAAAAGAGUGUUUGAGCAGGAGAAAUAAGAUGAAAAUUUCAGGACUCUUUAUCUGGCAAUAAGGCAUAGGCUCAACUUCAGGGCAACUUUGAACAGUUAAAGGCAAUAUUCAAGAGAGAAGCAGUGAAAGCCUGACUUGAAUAAAUUGAAUAAAUAAGUAUAGAAAUGGAAAAAUAAAUUGAUCUUGGAAGAAGAAUUGGAAUAAAUUAGCAGCUUGUUAGAAAUAAGCGAUUUCUGAUUAGUUAAUUAACUAUUUGGUAAUUCUUAAAGACACAUUCAAUAAUUAUGAAAUAUAUGUCGAACACUUUUUAACCUAACUGCUGAAUUUCCUACCUGGGGCCCAAAGUCAAUUUAAUGAUAUUGAACUCACCAGGAGGUGAGUACGCCUCAUGCACAAGCAUCAAUCAAACACUAAAUAUGUAGAGAUUUACAGAGAAUAAUAAUCAACAAAAUGUGCAUUAUUAGCUCAGCCAAGUAUGUAUAUAGUGUUUCUUCUUUCCUCUGCUGCUAUGUAUUUGGUUUGUGAUUCUUUGUGACUUCUAUUGGAAUGCCUGGAGACAAGACCCAGCUUUCCCUUCAGAUUGUCCAACAUUCUUGAUACCUGACUCUGGUAUACAGGUUCUGGUCUUCAAAGCUGUGCAGUUUCUCAUUGAUCUCAGCAGUAGCUGUUCAAACUUAACACAUCACACCUUUGCUGAUUUCUGAUGUGAGCAAAUGGAUCUUAAUUCCUUUUUCUCACCAUUGCUGCCUUCCCCCUACCCUAUCACUCUCCAUGACUUUCUAAAGCAUAGACUCACUUCCAUUACCAUAUUUUUUAGAGAGAGAGAGAGAGAGAGAAUUUUUUAUAUUUAUUUUUUACUUUUCGGAAGACACAGCAUCUUUGUAUGUGGUGCUGAGGAUUGAACCCGGGCCGCACGCAUGCCAGGCGAGCGCGCUACUGCUUGAGCCACAUCCCCAGCCCACCAUUAUCAUUUUUUGAGACUUUUGUUCCCAUUUAAAAUCCCAAAGAGUUUUCUGCCCCAUCACCUCCAUUCCCAAUUCUUCCUCAUGUUGCCCUUAUCUACAAAAAUUUACCAAACAUCAUUUGGUUUGGGACUUGGAAUGCUCAUUUAAAUCAAUUAAAAACAUUUCCUGUUUCCUAGUGAAGUGAAAUUUAAAUUCCAGGUUACUUGGGGGUGGGGGAUAAUUUAAGGAGCUGGCUGUCCCCCAGCACUGGGAUCAUGGCAGGAGAUCUCAGGUAGCUCCCUGCAGUUGUUUUGGCUCUUCUGUUGGAUGGCCAUGUCAUUGAUAGAUGGUGUCUUGAAGGUUGUGUAUGCAUUGUGUUGUUGUAAAUGUCCUGGGCACUAAACCAUGAGUGAGCUUCAUUUUUAUUCUAUUCAUUUCGGAAUGGACAAGACAUUAUUUUCUGUUUCUCAAAACAAUACUGCCAGACCUCUGAAACUAAUUGGAAAGUGAGAUUUGGGCCUUUUAGAUCUGCGCUGUGAGGAAGUAUAACCACAGGGUUCCUAAGAGGCCACAUUACAAAUUCAUCCAUUCACAAAAGGCAUCACCCGAUUCUUCCUAGCUUUAUUUGACUUUUUGAACUGUAGAAUAUUUUGUUUCCUGGCUGAAUGGAAAAACGAGACCAAAAGAAAUGUCCAAAUAAAGACUUCUUAGUAGAAAUCACUUUGCAUUGAACUAUGAUUCCUCAUGGUCCUGAGCAAACAGCCACCUGUCUCAGAGAAGAGACUGAAUUCUUCUCUAAUGGAACUUAGCUGGAGCAGCCUAAAGCUAUGACUUGAACAACAGUCUGUUUGUCUCCCUUAUUCCUUCCCAAGGGUGGUCUGGGAUGAACUGUGCUUUCAAGAGACGUUAGUUUCUAGCAUGACAAAGCCCAGGUCCCUUCAUUUAAAAUGCUUUCUGAACACUAUUUUACAUAAGACCUUCUGAAUUAUUUGAAAAAUGUUGGCCAUAGCAGAACUAGGCAUGGUUUAAUUUUACCUUCAGAUGCUUCAGAGCAGAGUGGAGAAACCUUCAGAUUCGGCUCCAUUGUUUAUAGCAGGGAUGCUUCCUCUUGUUUAUUUUGGGAAGUGUGGGCCAGGCUAUUUCAGAGGUUCUCCUGAAUUCCUUCUUCCUUUAUAUUUCUAUAUUGAAUGUUCUGUUUCUGCACCUAUAUUUUUGGUGAAAAUUGUCAGAAUCAAAAUGCAGCCACUUGCUGGGUGCAGUGGUGCACACCUGCAAUCCCAGAAUUUUGGGAGGCUAAGGCAGGAGGAUCACAAGUGCAAGGCCAGCCUGAGCAACUUUACAAGGCCCUAAACAACUUAGUGAGACUCUGUGUCAAAGUUAGAAAAAAAAAGAUAAGGGGGAUGGGGAUGUGGUUCAGUGGUUAAUUACUUCUGGGUUCAAUCCCUGGUACAAAAAAUAAAAAAUAAAAAAACCUCCCAUGAUAAUUUCCUUACCAUUUCACAGCUUUCACCAACCACGAUAUUGCAAAGCCAAAGGCAUUAAUUUAGUCUUUUAUUUAAAAACACCAUAUCUCACUUAACUACCAGCUAAAAAUUCACUCCAAGAUUCUGUGACUUUUUAUUGCCUUGCUUUUCAGCUAUUUCUCAUUAAAUUUUUGUUGCCAGAGGAGUUAAAUAUCCUGGAUACCAAACCAUUUAUCCUUCUCUCUGCACUCUACUUUCCACCAGCAGUGGAGUCUAUAAUUUUAUUUAAUUUCCCAGCAAGCAACUGCAGAGUUAUUUCUGAUUCUCUGCAGUUCACAAAUUUUUGAUCAUACCCAACUUUAAAUCCUCUUUCUUUCUUCCUUCUUUUUUCUUUGUUUUAUGGAUCCUAAGUUUAUUAAUUCUGUUGUUCUGACUGUUAUUUUCUUUGUACAAGUCCUUAGGCUACUAUGAGCCAAUAGCAGGACAAAUCUUCAAACCAAAUCCUUCCCCAUUAUGUAAAUAAAAUGAAUAACAUUGAAUUCAUUAUCUCAUCUUUUUGAUACAUCACCUAUAAAAUAAAACUUUGUAGGUCGCUAAACCACACCAUCAAUUUCCUGUUCUGAUCCUCUGCCCCAUACUGAUUACCAAACAUCUCUUCUUACCCAACUCAACCCAUGCAGCAAUUCUGCUCUUCCAGAUACAUGCAUAGAAAUGGUUUGAAUAGAGUUCAUGUCCAUAAAUAAUUAUAUUUAGCAUAUACACCGAAUUUUAUGAUUCCACCCUUACUUAUGAAUUAAUUUGCUAUAGUAGAUUUAAUAAUUCCCAUUACCAACAUUUUAUAGUUGGAUAAAAUAAAAUACAGAGAAUUACAUUUCAAAUUGCCCAAACUAGAUUCUGCCUCUGUAAAUACAUUCAUUUUUUUUAAGUUCUGAAACAUGUAUUUUCCCUUGUCUGCUUUGAAAAGCAAAUGCAGGCUUAACUUUUACCAAUAUACUCAAUUUUAAUUCCUUUACUUCAAAUGACAUUCAAUUUUGGCAGAUAAAUAUGACUUUCCAGUUAUUUCAAAACAUUAAUUUAAUUGCAUGAUUUCACAGCUGAAAUCUAUUGGAGUUCUUUGUUUUUCUAACUCAGGGAACAUAAGUGCAGAGAGAGUUAAAAUUACUUGUUAAGUUACACACUCUUAAUAAAGUACAUCUACUAUGUUUUAUAGGCUGAAACAAUAUUCAGGUAUCCAAUUACCUUUUAUUACUUAUUCUCACUUGGAGAAAUUCUUAUCAAAUAUUAUCUACAUCAUUCUUUAUAUGCUGCUUUUGAAAUUAUAUUUGUUAUCUAUACAUUGUUUUACGUAUAUGAUAUUAUUAUUUUUUGUUGUAUCAUGUAUUGGAUUUAUAUAUUUGUGAAUUGUAAAGACUCAUAACACAAGAUCUAAAUUUUCAAAAUUGUUCAAGAUUCUUCUAAUACUAAAACUUAUCCGUAGACAUAAUUUAAACAAAGCAUGUGUUUCUUAGAUCAAAAUAUUUUCAAAGUCACCAGAUUAUAUUUAUCAUAAAAUGUUGAAAAGACAUGGAAAUACCAAAUCAAAAGUUUAAGAUCACCAUCAAUUCUUCCCUUCAAAUAAAACCUUUAUACAACUUUGGUUUUACUCAAUGUUUUGCCUAGUAAAGAGCAGUCUUUUGCACAUACUAAGAAUCAAUGGACAUUAGAAAAUGAAUGAAUGAUGGAUGUCAAUCCAUAUGAAUUCUAAACAAAAAUUAGAUCAAUGUAUAUGUGUUUCUUUUUAACUUGUCAUUUUUUCACUUAAAUAUCCCUAGCAAUUACAUGUAUUCAGUAUCUUCAUGCAAUACAAUUUUUAUAGCUGAACCAUGUUCAAGUCAUUCAAUUGAAUGAGUUACCUCAUUUUAAAUCUAUGAAAAGAGAUUAACAUUUUUUGAAUUAGUAUGACAUACCUCUCCCUGACAUUGCCCUGCUUCAAGCCUCCACUGGAUCUUUAAAAGUCCAGGAUGUUCCACAAUUGGAGAUGAUGUGCCCAUCUGGCCCUAUUGCCUCUUGACUUUGUCUGUUGACCCCAACCCAAUUUCUUCCAGAGAAAUUAUGUACCAUUUCCCAGGAGUGAUACCAUGCUCUCAAUUUCUGGGCCCUAAAGCACCCUUCUCCUUUCACCAGGAAUGCUAGUCCUACUCCUCGUCUGUAGUCUUCCAAAUCCAAAUCCAAGAUUUUAUUAGUAAAUCCUGUAUCACAGUGAUCCUCAGGAAUCAGCAUAAACCACACAGAACAAGAAGUUGAGUAGAGAUGAGAAGAACUGAAGUUUUAUGUCAAUUCAGAAGAAAGAAAAGAACAUUUUGGCUUGAGUGAGCAGCCAACCCUCUAGACAGGGUUAUUUUCCUGUUGUCCGUGAACAAGAAAAAGCCAUCAAAAGCAGCACCUUCUUUUCCUCUCUUCAGGAAACAGUGGCAUUCGAUUCUUCUCUUCUGAGGCCCUGAGUGAUUGGAGAAUGGAUUGGUAGAGAAGAAAACUAUGCUGAUCCACUAGCUGCUGAAAUGCUGUAGCCCCCAGUUCCAAGAAGUAAAAAUGACCAAUGGGAAAGUGAAGACAGUGGCUCUAGCCCUGCAGGAAGCUUGAAGAUGGAGCCCAAGACUAAAGGAUUAAAACAGCAGCAACAGCAGCAUAAGAAACUUCUGGAAGCCAUGCUUUCUCAGGAUUCCUUUGAGUCCAUCCACAGCCCUACCCCAUCUGUAACAGAAGAAGUCAUUGACAAGGAAGAUGAUGCAAUGGAGUUGCUGGCUGUUUUUGGUGCCAUCUCUGCCUGCACAAAUGCCAAGUGAGUGCAGCUUGAAGUGUGGCCUUUGAGGAGCUGAACAUGGCCCUGUGCUUGCCUUGCCAUAAUCCAAUGAUGACAUUUGAGAAAAUCCAUUCAAACACAUUCAUUCAGUAAGUAUAAUGCACCUGCUCAGUAAAUUGCACUAGUUCAUACUAACAUAUAAUACUGGUAAUACUGCAUCUUAUGUUUUCUAAUAACCAUGACCUCUUUGGGGUUUGAGAAGAGGGUGAAGAGUGGGAAUGUUUUUCCCAUUGAGACCCAAAUAAAUUGUAGUUUUCUGACAGCUCUCAAUUGUUCUGUUCAUUCACUUACUCACUCAUUCAUCCAUUCACAGACUUAUUAAUUUCUUAAAUGUGUAACUCUCACCUCCAGAAUAACGAUCAUUAUGUUUAUGGGAGUCCAAAUUUGAACAAACAUGGAAGUUUUGACUUCAGGAAGGUGAUUUUUAAGAUUUGUUUUCCUUCCAAAUCAUCUGGGGGGUUCAUUUAAGUACAUUGUCCAGUCGUCCCUGCCCCCAUUUUUUUGAUUCAUUAGAUUUGGAUACAGCCCAUCAAUCUACAUUUUUUUUCUACAGGAAUGUCCUCCUCCCUUUCUGUAGAUUCCAUUGCAGGGGAUCUGUAGAGCAUUCAGGAACCCUAACCUAGUAUUUAUAUUCAGUGAAAAUUUUCGUUAGAUAUAAUGUACUGGAAGUGAGGAGGAUAUUAGAAAGUCUAUUUUUUUUUUUUUUUUUUAACAAAAGAUCAUGAAAUAGAGGUUUCUGAGUUAACUAAGCUCUUCCAAAGCUGUUCUGGAAACAAUGAAGUUUUGCUCUCAAACUUUCACUAAUGUAGUUUACAUCACCUUUUUCUCUUGCUGAUAUAUUUUUACAAGAUCAUUUGCUUAUAGUAGAGGAGUUAUAAAAGUUAUAAAUGAUUCUAGCAUAAACCUGAGAAAAUUUUUUCUUUCUUAUUCGAUUUUAUCAUCAGAUCAUAUUAAAACCUUACCAUGUUUACUGUGCUUUUCUUACAUGUGACUCAGCCGCCCUCCUCAUAGCCUUUUAGAUGGACUUCUGCUUGGCAUUGUUUUCAUUUUCCAUCCUAUUCAUUCUUUAAUUCUGUUUCUUGUCAACAGAGGAUCAGAACAUUUGCAAAUAUAACCAAGGUUUGGAGGUAGAGAUUGCCCUUUAAAUAAAUAUAAUAGCUCAUCGUAUUAAAUGAUUUACUUUUAUGGAGUUUAAUAAGAAAUGUUGGGUUUUUUUUCCCUGUAAGUUUGUUUUCCAAUGGUAAAAGUAGAUUAAUGUUCAUAAUUAAAUCAAUAAUUUACAAAUAAAACCUAAACCCAUAAACAAAAUCUUGCCAAUGUCCCUUCAUCUCAACUGUAUACCGGGUGAAAAUUUCUUUAUUUGCGAGAUAGCUGUUUGUAAUAUAUUUGUAGUUAGUAGAGUUUCUUAUUUUAAUAUAUAUAUUUAUCAUUUUGAAUAAGUUACAUAUUGACUCAUAGCAAUGAUAAUAUGCUUUACAUGUUUAUGCUACUUUUCACUGAGUAUUUUGGCAAAGCUGGGGGGCCACUGUGUGAUGUGGUCUUUGUGGCCUGUGGUCAAAGCACUGGGCUAAAAUUCUAAGACCCAAGUCCAGCCUUCAUCCUUUCUCUGCUAGUUUUAACAUCUGAGCUACAAGUAAUUACUUUUAGUACACUAGUAACAACUUAUGACUCUCAUACUCCAAAAGAAAAAUGUUAUACUGAUAACAUUCCCUGAAAUGUUAUUAAUUUUGGAGGUUGAAUAGUCCCUGAAAGUGCUAUUACUUUUUUUCUUUUUGUCAUGGCUAACAGGAAUAUUGAAAAAAUGAUGCUAGAUUUUAUGCAAAAAAAUGCUUUCUUUCAAAUAAAUUGAUAUUCCCUAACCCACCUACAUUUCAGGUAGAUACAAGCAGAAGAACAAAAGAGUUCCUUUAACUUUGUGCAAUUGCCUACUGAGAGUAAAAAUUUAUGUUUCUUAGGAUAUAGUGAAAGAGUUGGAGAGAAAGCAGGUGAAGCUAUAAAUGUAUUUGCCUGCCAAAAUAUGUAAUAAGUCAGUACGAAGUACUCCAUCUCAUUUUUUAACAUGGAUAUUUAAACAAAGGUAGACAUUUAUGUGAUUUGGUUUUGGUGUGGAGCAAAUUACUCUCCUGUCUUUAAUUUUCUUGCUUAUAAAUGUAUAAUUUGUAGGAGAAAAUAAAAAUGUUUUGUGCCUAUCCAUGUGUCGAUACGAAAAAAGUAGAAGUUGGGGAAGGAAUAAGAGGAGGAGAUACAUAAAAACUAGAAAUUUGUACUCUAUGUUUAUAUGCUUCUGUGUAAAUAAAGUCAUAAAUGUGUUGAAAAUAUUUAAGCUUUAAAAUUAUAUUGGUAUUAUAAUAUAUUGAUAUAUGCUUUCCAAUUAUAUUGAUAAAUUAUAUUGAUAUUAUAAUAUUAUAUUGAUAUUCGCUUUCCAAUUAUAUUGAUACAUAAGUACAUAUUUGAAGUAGCACAAUUAUGAUGGUUCUACAUUAAUACAUUGUAUAAGCAAACCAGUGUUAAAUAUUGUUAGGGUUUUGUUUCUUUUGAAAUAAACUUGCCCUUUAUACAUAUUUAAUAAAAAGGUGAUGUUGUAUUUCAAGAUUAUUUGUUUAGCUACGUUAAUGUUUUUCAUAUAAUUUAGACAAAUCUGAAUUUUAAUGUAAGAGACAUUUGAAAUGGUGCAAAGUCUUAAUUUUAUUAUAUUUUUUCUUGGUUGAAAAUGUGCAAAGGAAGUGUAAUUAAUUCAGCAAUUAUUUGCAAAUUAACAUCAAAUUCAAUAGUUAUUAAAGAUAUUAUAUGGAUCUUA